rnacentral:rRNA from 1 species
AUUGAACGCUGGCGGCAGGCCUAACACAUGCAAGUCGAGCGAGAGGCGGACGGGUGAGGAAUGACUGGGAAACUGCCUGAUGGAGGGGGAUAACUACUGGAAACGGUAGCUAAUACCGCAUACCACCAGCUGUGCCCAGAUGGGAUAAGCUAGGAGGUGGGGUAAUGGCUCACAUUGGCGACGAUCCCUAGCUGGUCUGAGAGGAUGACCCGCCACACUGGAACUGGGACACGGUCCAGACUCCUACGGGAGGCAGCAGUGGGGAAUAUUGCACAAGGGGCGCAAGCCUGAUGCAGCCAUGCCGCGUGUGUGAAGAAGGCCUUCGGGUUGUAAAGCACUUUCAGCGGGGAGGCGUUACCCGCAGAAGAAGCACCGGCUAACUCCGUGCCAGCCGCCGCGGUAAUAC